rnacentral:sRNA from 1 species
UGCGCAUCCUCGCGACUAAUGACAACCCUAACCCGCAUGAUAUUGGGUAAAGCCUCUCAUUAGCCGCGCGAACCUCUGCAACGGAAGAUCAUUCAUAGCAACAAUACAAUAGUUUCCCGUGAAUUGCUGCCAUCUGCUUGAAAAAAGGGGCCAUGAAGGCCCCCUUU